rnacentral:rRNA from 1 species
CCUACGGGUGGCUGCAGUGGGGAAUAUUGGACAAUGGGGGAAACCCUGAUCCAGCAAUGCCGCGUGAGUGAUGAAGGCCUUAGGGUUGUAAAACUCUUUCGCCGGGGAAGAUAAUGACGGUACCCGGAGAAGAAGCACCGGCUAACUUCGUGCCAGCAGCCGCGGUAAUACGAAGGGUGCUAGCGUUGUUCGGAAUUACUGGGCGUAAAGCGCGCGUAGGCGGUUUUGUAAGUUGGAGGUGAAAGCCCAGAGCUUAACUCUGGAACUGCCUUCAAAACUACAAGGCUAGAGUAUGGGAGAGGUGAGUGGAAUUCCGAGUGUAGAGGUGAAAUUCGUAGAUAUUCGGAAGAACACCAGUGGCGAAGGCGGCUCACUGGACCAUAACUGACGCUGAGGCGCGAAAGCGUGGGGAGCAAACAGGAUUAGAUACCCCAGUAGUC